UAGGGAAUCUUCGGCAAUGGACGAAAGUCUGACCGAGCAACGCCGCGUGAGUGAAGAAGGUUUUCGGAUCGUAAAACUCUGUUGUUAGAGAAGAACAAGGACGUUAGUAACUGAACGUCCUCUGACGGUAUCUAACCAGAAAGCCACGGCUAACUACGUGCCAGCAGCCGCGGUAAUACGUAGGUGGCAAGCGUUGUCCGGAGUUAUUGGGCGUAAAGCGAGCGCAGGCGGUUUCUUAAGUCUGAUGUGAAAGCCCCCGGCUCAACCGUGGAGGGUCAUUGGAAACUGGGAGACUUGAGUGCAGAAGAGGAGAGUGGAAUUCCGUGUGUAGCGGUGAAAUGCGUAGAUAUAUGGAGGAACACCAGUAGCGAAGGCGGCUCUCUGGUCUGUAACUGACGCUGAGGCUCGAAAGCGUGGGGAGCAAACAGG
rnacentral:rRNA from 1 species